UACAGAGGAUGCAAGCGUUAUCCGGAAUGAUUGGGCGUAAAGCGUCUGUAGGUGGCUUUUUAAGUCCGCCGUCAAAUCCCAGGGCUCAACUCUGGACAGGCGGUGGAAACUACCAAGCUAGAGUGCGGUAGAGGAUGGUGGAAUUCCCGGUGUAGCGGUGAAAUGCGUAGAGAUCGGGAGGAACACCCGUGGCGAAGGCGGCCAUCUGGACCAGCACUGACGCUGAUACGCGAAAGCGUGGGGAGCGAACCGG
rnacentral:rRNA from 1 species